GACGAACGCUGGCGGCGUGCUUAACACAUGCAAGUCGAACGGAAAGGCCCUGCUUUUGUGGGGUGCUCGAGUGGCGAACGGGUGAGUAACACGUGAGUAACCUGCCCUUGACUUUGGGAUAAAUUCAGGAAACUGGGGCUAAUACCGGAUAGGAGCUCCUGCUGCAUGGUGGGGGUUGGAAAGUUUCGGCGGUUGGGGAUGGACUCGCGGCUUAUCAGCUUGUUGGUGGGGUAGUGGCUUACCAAGGCUUUGACGGGUAGCCGGCCUGAGAGGGUGACCGGCCACAUAGGGACUGAGAUACGGCCCGGACGCCUACGGGAGGCAGCAGUGGGGGAUAUUGCACGAUGGGCGGAAGCCUGAUGCAGCAACGCCGCGUGCGGGAUGACGGCCUUCGGGUUGUAAACCGCUUUCGCCUGUGACGAAGCGUGAGUGACGGUAAUGGGUAAAGAAGCACCGGCUAACUACGUG
rnacentral:rRNA from 1 species